UUUACAUUUUCGUUAUAUAGAAGUACAACGCAAAACCACCUCUUAAUCACUCCUCAAAACACAUUUUCCUCUGCUUCAUUCAAACCUACCCCAGGCUGAACAGCUCCCCGAAUUACACUUCCAUUAGCUAUCGCCUCUUCUACAUUUUCAUUCGCGGCUACCGCCGCCGCCUCUUCUUCCUCUCUUUGCUGAGCAGACAAGUGGUUCUCUACUAGAUCCCCAAGCUCUUGGUGCUCGUCAUCAAACGACUCAAGUUGCUCUGAACCCUCUUCAACGCUCUUCUUUAGCUUUUUUUUCGCGUAGUUCUGGGGGACGGAUGACACCGAAUUUCGAGUGGUACAAGCCACAGGCUUAUAACAUAAUCAGCUUUAAUGACCAGUUUAGAAGCAUAUUCUGCUAACCGUUGCACACUUUGUGGUCGAUACCUCCCAGCACUAAUUUUCUCCACACAGUCGUUUCCGUUCUCAUGCAGAUAUCGCAACUUCCAGGAGGGCCCUGUUUAAGUCGCGAAAGAAUGGAAAGAGGAACGUCGUGGUCACCCUGACUAACAUGGACUAACUCCUGAUUUUGGCCAUUUGAGGAAGCAGACUGACCGAAAGCAUCAGCAUCGCCAUCUUGACUCAAGGGUCCCUCGGCCUGUCGUUCUAAUG
rnacentral:sRNA from 1 species